rnacentral:rRNA from 1 species
UACGUAGGGGGCUAGCGUUGUCCGGAAUCAUUGGGCGUAAAGCGCGUGUAGGCGGCCCGGUAAGUCCGCUGUGAAAGUCCAGGGCUCAACCCUGGGAUGCCGGUGGAUACUGUCGGGCUCGAGUCCGGAAGAGGCGAGUGGAAUUCCUGGUGUAGCGGUGAAAUGCGCAGAUAUCAGGAGGAACACCAAUGGCGAAGGCAGCUCGCUGGGACGUGACUGACGCUGAGACGCGAAAGCGUGGGGAGCAAACAGGAUUAGAUACCCC